rnacentral:rRNA from 1 species
GACGAACGCUGGCGGCGUGCUUAACACAUGCAAGUCGAACGGUAAGGCCCUUCGGGGUACACGAGUGGCGAACGGGUGAGUAACACGUAGGUGAUCUGCCCUGCACUUCGGGAUAAGCCUGGGAAACUGGGUCUAAUACCGGAUAGGACCACUGCCUACAUGGGUGGUGGUGGAAAGCUUUUGCGGUGUGGGAUGGGCCCGCGGCCUAUCAGCUUGCUGGUGGGGUGAUGGCCUACCAAGGCGACGACGGGUAGCCGGCCUGAGAGGGUGACCGGCCACACUGGGACUGAGAUACGGCCCAGACUCCUACGGGAGGCAGCAGUGGGGAAUAUUGCACAAUGGGCGCAAGCCUGAUGCAGCGACGCCGCGUGAGGGAUGACGGCCUUCGGGUUGUAAACCUCUUUCAGCACCGACGAAGCGCAAGUGACGGUAGGUGCAGAAGAAGGACUGGCCAACUACGUGCCAGCCGCCGCGGUAA